rnacentral:rRNA from 1 species
GGGGUGAUGGCCUACCAAGGCGACGACGGGUAGCCGGCCUGAGAGGGUGUCCGGCCACACUGGGACUGAGAUACGGCCCAGACUCCUACGGGAGGCAGCAGUGGGGAAUAUUGCACAAUGGGCGCAAGCCUGAUGCAGCAACGCCGCGUGCGGGAUGACGGCCUUCGGGUUGUAAACCGCUUUCAGUUCCGACGAAGCGCAAGUGACGGUAGGAACAGAAGAAGGACCGGCCAACUACGUGCCAGCAGCCGCGGUGAUACGUAGGGUCCGAGCGUUGUCCGGAAUUAUUGGGCGUAAAGGGCUUGUAGGCGGUUUGUCACGUCGGAAGUGAAAACUCAGGGCUCAACCCUGAGCCUGCUUCCGAUACGGGCAAACUAGAGGGAUGCAGGGGAGAAUGGAAUUCCUGGUGGAGCGGUGGAAUGCGCAGAUAUCAGGAGGAACACCGGUGGCGAAGGCGGUUCUCUGGGCAUUUCCUGACGCCGAGAAGCGAAAGCGUGGGGAGCAAACAGGCUUAGAUACCCUGGUAGUCCACGCCGUAAACGGUGGGCACUA